AACGAACGCUGGCGGCAGGCUUAACACAUGCAAGUCGAACGCCCCGCAAGGGGAGUGGCAGACGGGUGAGUAACGCGUGGGAAUCUACCGUACCCUACGGAAUAACGCAUGGAAACGUGUGCUAAUACCGUAUACGCCCUACGGGGGAAAGAUUUAUCGGGGUAUGAUGAGCCCAUGUCGGAUUAGCUAGUUGGUGGGGU
rnacentral:rRNA from 1 species